rnacentral:rRNA from 1 species
AGUGAACGCUGGCGGUAGGCCUAACACAUGCAAGUCGAACGGCAGCACAGUAAGAGCUUGCUCUUACGGGUGGCGAGUGGCGGACGGGUGAGGAAUACAUCGGAAUCUACUUUUUCGUGGGGGAUAACGUAGGGAGACUUACGCUAAUACCGCAUACGACCUACGGGUGAAAGCAGGGGAUCUUCGGACCUUGCGCGAUUGAAUGAGCCGAUGUCGGAUUGGCUAGUUGGCGGGGUAAAGGCCCACCAAGGCGACGAUCCGUAGCUGGUCUGAGAGGAUGAUCAGCCACACUGGAACUGAGACACGGUCCAGACUCCUACGGGAGGCAGCAGUGGGGAAUAUUGGACAAUGGGCGCAAGCCUGAUCCAGCCAUACCGCGUGGGUGAAGAAGGCCUUCGGGUUGUAAAGCCCUUUUGUUGGGAAAGAAAAGCAGCAGGUUAAUACCCUGCUGUUCUGACGGUACCCAAAGAAUAAGCACCGGCUAACUUCGUG